AUAGUAUAUACACUAUAAAAUUGAGAAUGGAAAUGGGGAAUGUGCCAAAGAGACAACAACCCGACCAUAGAAAAAAAACAACAACAGAAGGUCACCAACAGGUCUUCAAUGUAGCGAGAAAUUCCCGCACCCGGAGGCGUCCUUCAACUGGCCCCUAAACAAAUAUAUACUAGUUCAGUGAUAAUGAACGCCAUACUAAUUUCCAAAUUAUACACAAGAAACUAAAAUUAAAAUAAUACAAGACUAACAAAGGCCAGAGGCUCCUGACUUGGGACAGGCGCAAAAAUGCGGCGGGGUUAAACAUGUUUGUGAGAUCUCAACCCUCCCCCUAUACCUCUAGCCAAUGUAGAAAAGUAAACGCAUAACAAUACGCACAUUAAAAUUCAGUUCAAGAGAAGUCCG
rnacentral:lncRNA from 1 species